AUUGAACGCUGGCGGCAUGCCUUACACAUGCAAGUCGAACGGUAACAGGUCUUCGGAUGCUGACGAGCGGCGAACGGGUGAGUAAUACAUCGGAACGUGCCUAGUAGUGGGGGAUAACUACUCGAAAGAGUGGCUAAUACCGCAUGAGAUCUACGGAUGAAAGCAGGGGAUCGCAAGACCUUGUGCUACUAGAGCGGCCGAUGGGAGAUUAGGUAGUUGGUGGGAUAAAAGCUUACCAAGCCGACGAUCUGUAGCUGGGCUGAGAGGACGAUCAGCCACACUGGGACUGAGACACGGCCCAGACUCCUACGGGAGGCAGCAGUGGGGAAUUUUGGACAAUGGGCGCAAGCCUGAUCCAGCAAUGCCGCGUGCAGGAUGAAGGCCUUCGGGUUGUAAACUGCUUUUGUACGGAACGAAAAGCCCCGGGUUAAUACCCUGGGGUCAUGACGGUACCGUAAGAAUAAGCACCGGCUAACUACGUGCCAGCCGCCGCAGUAA
rnacentral:rRNA from 1 species